rnacentral:piRNA from 1 species
UGCCACUGUGUUCUCUCUCAGAGGAUGGU